CUCCAGUCUGAAGAUGGGAAGCCCCGGGAAAUUCCUUUCUUUCCACCCUCUCCUUCUCCACCGCGCCGAGAAGCCUUCAGCGACACGCUAGAGUACUCUGGGACACGCUUAGCAUUCUCUGGAGUUCUGCCUCUCCCCCAGGAUUCUUGUGUCUCUCCUGGGUCUUACUAUAUCCUCUCCCCGGGGAUCCCCUCCUCUCCCUCCUGGGUCUCCCCUUAUGUUUUCCGCAGCCUUCUCCACACACCCCCCCCCCCAUCGGCCUGCCCCAAAUCCUCUUCCUGGAAGCGCGUCCAUCCCCCUCCCCUGCCCUUUCUUCUCUGUCCCAUGACUCCCCACUUCCUAUUCGAACUCCUCUCCCCACCGGGCUGCCCUGACUCCUCCCCGGAUCCCUUGUCUCCACCUUGCCCCCGGGGAGCUUUAUUUUUCCCUGGCUCGCAUUUAUCCAGUGUUCAGUCUUCUCUUUCCUAAGCACCCCCUCCUUUUCCAAGGGUGUUGUCCCCCCCUCUCCAAGAAUACUGUGGACUUGCAGCUCGAGACACAGCUCUCCUCACCCCCCCCCACCCCCCCACCCCCCGCCAAACAGACAGGCUCUGAGCCUUCCGUACCUGCUUUGUCCCCUACUCCAGAAGAGGCCAAGCUCAAGGGCCCACCAGAGACUGAGACUGAGGGCACUUGUACAUUCUCGUAGGAUGUGACCCCAAAGGGCUUACUUCCACAGGUGGGAAGAAGCUGGAACAAGACAAGAACCAAUACACAAGCGAGCAAGGCCUGGAGGCCAGGUGAAAUACCAAACCAAGUGUCCAGUAUGUGCUCAAAAAAAGAACCAAUGGAUAUGCUGCCUAAAUGGGACCUUGGAGAGGCUUCAAGAGAGAGGGUCCCCAAAUGCACCUGGAGUGAGCUAAACUGCACAUCCACAAUGGCAUAGACAACUUAAGCAGUCUUGGCCUGUGUCUCUGUCCUCCUUAGCUCUUGUGGGGAUGGUUACACAUCUCCUUAUGACGUUCUGCUUUCCCUUCCAAUGCCGCCUUUUGUGAAUAGGGUGUGAGAGAGGGAUCCUUCUUCCCCACAUGUGUCUUUGCAAUAUUGACAUUCACAUUACCUUUCAAGAUUGGGUAUCAGAAAGGACGCCUGAAACUCGUACUGUGCCUCCACUUGCCCAAAUGUCAGGAGAGCCUGGGGCCUUUUAAGAGCUGAGAAGCCAGUGCUGUGCAUUUCAGCUUUUCCAUAACCAUUAUAUCAUAUGAGCACAGACACCAAAGCCCAUUUCUUGCUCUCUCCUGGCCUCUCCAUUGUUUGUUACAGGGACUCGGUUGUAAAGGUAGAUAACAGGAGGCAGCCCAGCGAUGAGGACAGCAAAUGAGGAAUUUGCUGUGUGGAAAGGGGCUCAUCUGUAUAAAUUUUGGUGAAGUCCAGCCCACAUCAAGAAGUCAAGGAAGGCUUCUGAGACCCUGAAAACCAGGUUGUAUACAACUUCAUUACUUUAGUCCACUGGCUCUGGGAGGCUCUAAUUUAUAGACAGAGCAUGGUAGGCAGAAUAAUGGCCUCUCCAAAAUGUUCACACUUUAAUCCCCAGAAUCUGUGAGUAUGUUACUUUACUUGACAAAAAUGUAAAUGUGGUUAAGGACUUACUGCAUUUAGUAAAAACAUCCAAGUAUGUUAAAUAAUAAGAAUAAUAACAGGCAUCUCUGUCUAAA